UAAUGUGACAGAUUAGUGUGAUGAGUUUAAGCCUCAUUUAUAAAGGUUUAACUUUCUUUAGA
rnacentral:tRNA from 1 species